GGUAAGGACCCUCCUGUGUCCUGUAAGCUGUUCGGGAUGCCGCGAUUUCACCGCGGCUGUCCCGAACAGCCCAACUGAGCAGCCGGGAUACUUUCACUUUAGACGUGGCGAUCAAUGCCGAGCGCUAUUAGCCACGGGUCCCGGGCCCGACCCGCCGUGGCCCCGCGUUAUAGAUCGGGAGCGGACAAAUGACGUUCCAGUACGUCAUGUGUCCUUAAGGAGUUAAGGGGUUAAAUCAAUGACUGCAGGGAUGCCUGACGAGUGACAUCCUUUGCUCCAGUAGCGCAAUUUUAAUAAAAAAUUGCCCAAAAUUCCUUAUAUAACAGUCAUACAGAAUAUAUUAGAAAGCUUGUUUGUUUUUCAGCCAAUCAGAGAGCAGCACUACUGAAAUAGAACUCCCAGGAGGUAACAGCGUGUCACACAUGUGAUGUCAUAACCAUUGUCCACCAGAGAGCAGCACUGAGCAGAUAUAACACUGCUCCUGCUCAUUCUUCAUCAGUGAGGGGCUGAUGCUGGACACUGUAGGGGCCGAGAAUGCAAAGUCACAUACACUACUGUGACUGGUAAGUGUCACAUUGUUGUGACCAAAAGGUCUUUAGUGCAGUUCAAUGUGCUUUUCUAUAAUAAACAUGUAGAUAAUCCAUCUUUUGUUUUCCUAUCUUAGAUGCACUAUUUCCAGGAUGUGGAGUAGCAUUUCCGGACCUACAGCAAGACGUUGGAUGAGGACGGAGAUUUCCAGACCUAUUCCAGAAGAAUUUGGAUGAAGGCACAGCCCCUCGAAUCACGCACAUACACAGACACAUUUGCCCAAAUUCUAGAGGUAACCUCCUUUAGUAUGCCCAGAGGAAGGGCAAUACAGUAGCCAUGGAUUCCCUACAGGUUUCCUCCCCUCUGGAGGUUUUUCCUGUCCUGAGUAUUAGUUACUGUACGCUCUUUGUGAGUGAUGGAGGUUACAAAAAAUCCCCUACACAAACAUUUUUAUAUAUAAUAAAUAAAGUUCCCCUUUUUAAACCAUUCUGUAACUUGUUUGACUCAUUUAUUUUAUUUGUGUGUGAAAAAUAGUGUUAGCAAAACGUGGAUGACAUGAGGUUUAUUUAAGUGUCCAAAGCUGCUCUCCUGCACGAUCUGCAUAAUGCGGUGCGGAGAGAGGCAACUGAUGCUGGGGGGUACAGUUACCAAGGCAACCAUAGGACACCCAGCAAUUUCCAUGCAGGAGCCUUUUUCUGAUGAACGGGACCCUAGGAGAGCGGAGGAGGCAGAUGCACUAUUUCCAGGAUGUGGAGUAGCAUUUCCGGACCUACAGCAAGACGUUGGAUGAAGACGUAGAUUUCCAGACCUAUUCCAGAAGAAUUUGGAUGGAGGCACAGCCCCUGGAAUCACGCACAUACACAGACACAUUUGCCCAAAUUCUAGAGGUAACCUCCUUUAGUAUGCCCAGAGGAAGGGCAAUACAGUAGCCAUGGAUUCCCUACAGGUUUCCUCCCCUCUGGAGGUUUUUCCUGUCCUGAGUAUUAGUUACUGUACGCUCUUUGUGAGUGAUGGAGGUUACAAAAAUCCCCGACACAAACAUUUUUAUAUAUAAUAAAUAAAGUUCCCCUUUUUAAACCAUU